rnacentral:ncRNA from 2 species
AUACUCCGCUAGGGGUGCGCCAGGCUGAGAGUUCUUCUGUUAUCGGAAGAACGACCCUUGGAACCUGAACUCGUUAAUUCGAGCGUAGGGAAGCGGCCUUACCGUAAG